rnacentral:rRNA from 1 species
AGAGUUUGAUCCUGGCUCAGAGCGAACGCUGGCGGCAGGCCUAACACAUGCAAGUCGAACGAACUCUUCGGAGUUAGUGGCGGACGGGUGAGUAACACGUGGGAACGUGCCUUUAGGUUCGGAAUAACUCAGGGAAACUUGUGCUAAUACCGAAUGUGCCCUUCGGGGGAAAGAUUUAUCGCCUUUAGAGCGGCCCGCGUCUGAUUAGCUAGUUGGUGAGGUAAUGGCUCACCAAGGCGACGAUCAGUAGCUGGUCUGAGAGGAUGAUCAGCCACAUUGGGACUGAGACACGGCCCAAACUCCUACGGGAGGCAGCAGUGGGGAAUCUUGCGCAAUGGGCGAAAGCCUGACGCAGCCAUGCCGCGUGAAUGAUGAAGGUCUUAGGAUUGUAAAAUUCUUUCACCGGGGACGAUAAUGACGGUACCCGGAGAAGAAGCCCCGGCUAACUUCGUGCCAGCAGCCGCGGUAAUACGAAGGGGGCUAGCGUUGCUCGGAAUUACUGGGCGUAAAGGGAGCGUAGGCGGACAUUUAAGUCAGGGGUGAAAUCCCGGGGCUCAACCUCGGAAUUGCCUUUGAUACUGGGUGUCUUGAGUAUGAGAGAGGUGUGUGGAACUCCGAGUGUAGAGGUGAAAUUCGUAGAUAUUCGGAAGAACACCAGUGGCGAAGGCGACACACUGGCUCAUUACUGACGCUGAGGCUCGAAAGCGUGGGGAGCAAACAGGAUUAGAUACCCUGGUAGUCCACGCCGUAAACGAUGAUUGCUAGUUGUCGGGAUGCAUGCAUUUCGGUGACGCAGCUAACGCAUUAAGCAAUCCGCCUGGGGAGUACGGUCGCAAGAUUAAAACUCAAAGGAAUUGA